GUGUCAGCAGCCGCGGUAAUACGUAGGGGGCAAGCGUUGUCCGGAAUCAUUGGGCGUAAAGCGCGUGUAGGCGGUUUCGUAAGUCUGCUGUGAAAGUCGGAGGCUCAACCUUCGAAAGCCGGUGGAUACUGCGGAACUAGAGUGCGGAAGAGGCAAGUGGAAUUCCUGGUGUAGCGGUGAAAUGCGCAGAUAUCAGGAGGAACACCAACGGCGAAGGCAGCUUGCUGGGACGUUACUGACGCUGAGACGCGAAAGCGUGGGGAGCAAACAGGAUUAGAUACCCUGGUAGUCCACGCCGUAAACGAUGGUCACUAGAUGUGGGGGGUGUCGACUCCCUCCGUGUCGAAGCUAACGCGUUAAGUGACCCGCCUGGGGAGUACGGCCGCAAGGCUAAA
rnacentral:rRNA from 1 species